AAAAUGAGAAGGGGAGAGAAAAUUCUCCACGAAUUGUCUAGAGAAAUGGCGGCCACGAACGAAAGAAAACCCUAACUACCGAGUUGCUACAAAAGAUCGCAUCUUUUCUGAGGUAUGCACACUAUGCGUCCUGGGCCAGAUAGAGAUGAGGUCAUUCACGAUCAGUCAUGCCACCGUUUUGAGAUUAUAUUAUUUUUAGAAGUAACCAAUUUGUUGAAUACAUGAAACAAUUAUUUAUUUUGACUUAAUUGCGUAUAAAUGUUGUUGAUGAUGUUGAGGCCACUGCAAUGAGGAUCUAGUACUUUCUGUCGCAAGAACAAAUUGAGUACACACGUCUCUGUAUCAGCGGAUAGUGCAAAGGAUUCAUUGAGCUAUGAAUCGAACUCACAAGGAUCUUCAUGAUGGUCGAGAGGUGAUAGUGGAGGAUCUCUUAUGUGUCUUGC